rnacentral:rRNA from 1 species
CAGCAGCCGCGGGAAUACAGAGGGUGCAAGCGUUAAUCGGAAUUACUGGGCGUAAAGCGCGCGUAGGUGGUUUGUUAAGUUGGAUGUGAAAUCCCCGGGCUCAACCUGGGAACUGCAUCCAAAACUGGCAAGCUAGAGUAUGGUAGAGGGUGGUGGAAUUUCCUGUUUAGCGGUGAAAUGCGUAGAUAUAGGAAGGAACACCAGUGGCGAAGGCGACCACCUGGACUGAUACUGACACUGAGGUGCGAAAGCGUGGGGAGCAAACAGGAUUAGAUACCCCCGUAGUCCCUGUCUCUUAUAC